GAAAUUCCAUGGGAAGCAAAAUGUCUCCCUUGCUGAAAAGGCUUUUCGAUGGAAGCAGAAAAAGGUUCUUAUGCUGUGAACGUUGUCCCACAUUCUGGACAUCAGGCUAGAAGAUCAGAACAACAAAAAAAUAAUUGCCAUCCUUCCUGAGCUUGAUUCUGUGCCUGCAGAGGCACCUCUGAAUCUCCCUGGGCCUCCUCUCUUACCAGAAUUACAAAGGAAAAAGCAGAAAUUAGUAUGAGCUAAGGGAAAGAGAAAAUACUUCCUAUCUCCCACAGAGAACAGACACACAGUUAAAGCCCCAAGGCCCUUGAUAAGAAGACAUGAAAGAAUCGCUUCCAAAACAUAAUCCGGUUCCCAAAGAUUUGCACUAAGAAAUCCCCGCAGGAGCUGACGGUGCCAGAAGCACUACCAAUUCCCAAUCCAGUUCCUAUCCUGUGUGACAGGGCGCAGUGUGAAGC
rnacentral:lncRNA from 1 species